GUAACCCCGUACAGAAGUCACAAACAAUUCCCACGUGAGUCACCGGUACAAUCAUCACCAUCAUCAGCGCAGCCAUUACCUCCAGCCUUGCCCUGCCUCGCCUUGCCUUGCCCAGCUCCAUUAACGCCACAAAAUGUUCAAAUUGAUGCCCUCCGCCCCUGAGCCACGCCGCCCUGAACGAGGAGGGAUCAAAGGCGCCAUUAUGGGUGUUUACUACGACCCUUUCAAGUGGUCAGUGGUGAAGAGUGUCAUUUUCUUCAUAGUCGGAGUCAAGACAGCCAAUGACCUUGUGGGAUUUGAUGUUUUAGCCCCCAGCCCUCAAUAAAGAAGAGGAAGAAGAAGAAGAAGAAGAAAACCCCCAUAACCCCCAAGAGAGAGAGAGUGAGAGAGUGUAAAUAUGACGAGUUUUGUGUUCUGUUUGUAAGAAUGUGUGAUGAUGAUGAUGAUGAUGAUGAUGUGUAAGAAUAAAUAAAAUUAUAAUGAAGUAA